CCUACGGGAGGCAGCAGUGGGGAAUAUUGCACAAUGGGGGGAACCCUGAUGCAGCGACGCCGCGUGAGUGAAGAAGUAUUUCGGUAUGUAAAGCUCUAUCAGCAGGGAAGAAAAUGACGGUACCUGACUAAGAAGCCCCGGCUAACUACGUGCCAGCAGCCGCGGUAAUACGUAGGGGGCAAGCGUUAUCCGGAUUUACUGGGUGUAAAGGGAGCGCAGACGGCUGUGCAAGUCUGGAGUGAAAGGCGGGGGCCCAACCCCCGGACUGCUCUGGAAACUGUAAAGCUGGAGUACAGGAGGGGCAGGCGGAAUUCCUGGUGUAGCGGUGAAAUGCGUAGAUAUCAGGAGGAACACCGGCGGCGAAGGCGGCCUGCUGGACUGAAACUGACGUUGAGGCUCGAAAGCGUGGGGAGCAAACAGGAUUAGAUACCCUUGUAGUC
rnacentral:rRNA from 1 species